rnacentral:lncRNA from 1 species
UAAAUUAUUAUUCACAACAAGAGAUCUUGAUGUGCUGUUAAGGAUGGGAUCUGAAAAAAACUUCUCGAUUGGCAUUUUAAAUGAACAAGAAGCCUGGAGAUUGUUCAAGAUAAUGGCUGGUGAUUAUGUUGAAAAUCGUUAGUUAAAAUCUACAGCAACCAGUGUAGCCAAGGCAUGCGGAGGUUUGCCUAUUGCCCUAACCACAGUAGCAAAGGCACUGAGAAAAAAAGAGCUGCCUGUGUGGAAGAAUGCCUUGCAAGAACUCCAAACGCCUUCAGAGGCAAGCUUCGACGAAGGAGUACCAGCAGAGGCAUACUCAACAAUUGAGCUGAGUUACAAGUACUUAAGAGGUGAGCAACUCAAGAAAACUUUUUUACUGUGUAGUCUUAUUACGCCAGCACCAAUUAUGGAUUUGUUCAAAUACAG